GAUGAAGAACGCAGCGAAAUGCGAUACGUAAUGUGAAUUGCAGAAUUCAGUGAAUCAUCGAGUCUUUGAACGCACAUUGCGCCCCCUGGUAUUCCGGGGGGCUUGCCUGUCCGAGCGUCAUUGCUGCCCUCAAGCACGGCUUGUGUGUUGGGCCUCCGUCCUCCUCCCGGGGGACGGGCCCGAAAGGCAGCGGCGGCACCGCGUCCGGUCCUCGAGCGUAUGGGGCUUCGUCACCCGCUCUUGUAGGCCCGGCCGGCGCUUGCCGACACAUCAAUCUUUUUUCCAGGUUGACCUCGGAUCAGGUAGGGAUACCCGCUGAACUUAAGCAUAUCAAUAAGCGGAGGA
rnacentral:misc_RNA from 1 species